rnacentral:lncRNA from 1 species
GAGGAAUCACUUAGGAGGUAUUAAGGUUGCAUGUAACUGUGACCCAUUCCAGUUCCUUUGGUCCUUGUGUAAAGCAGAAGCUUGCUUCACCCUUGGAGUUUUCUAGGCCUGUGCAGCCUAAGCAUGAUCCUGGCUCUGACUCGGGACAUGGCGAAGGAAAAGGAGACUCUUGAUCUUUUUCUUCGGCUUCUACCGGUUGCUAUUUCAUAGUACAGCAGCCCUAAGUUUAUUGGCACCAGGCUAAUGCCACAGCUAUUCAACACUGACCCAGUUUAAACCUGGAAUGUUAGGGAAGCCCAUGUUGGGGUAGCCAUGACAGGUGUGGAGUAGAACAUUAUGAAGUUUUCUCAGCUAAUGCUAACCUUUCUUUUCAUGGUUAUUAAACAUGAGUAAACUUUAUCCGAAAUAAAUGUUAUUGUGGCAUAUGAAACAUUGUAUACAGAAAAGGGCAAAGUCAUUAAGUGUAUAGUUAAUGAAUAAGUAUAGCUCAAAAUACAUUAAAUAUAUUUUGGGGAAUGUUAAGUAAUUAUGUAGACCUCCUCUGUAAAGCCUCACUUUCAUCAGUCUCUUCAGUUAGGCUCUUUUCUGCUCUGACAUCACCUUCUCUCAACUUCUGUUAUAGCACUGUCAUAAUACUUUGUCUACUUGUCUGUCCAAGGCCAGAUGAACAUAAGCUCCUUAUGGUAGAAUAUGUUUUAUUUAUUUUAUUACUUGCUCCUCCCUCACCCACCUACCGGGAUGGCAGCCCGGGGGUCCAGUCCAUUUUCCACCACUGAGAGCAUCUCCACUCACGCAGCUGCUCCCUCAGAGAAUCACAUGACAUCUGAAGAGACAGAUGGCAGCCAGAUGAAUGGGCAGGCAACUUCCCCCCAGCCAGAGUCCAUUCCCAGCAAGCAGUAGGAGGUCAGCCCCCCUUAAACCACAACCGAAAGGCCUUUGAGGAACACGAAAGUAAAAAUUGAGAGUGGAUUUGAAAGAAGGAAGCAAGGAAGGAAAGCCCAGGGGGCUCAGUCCUUGGGAGGCAAGGAGUCCUGGGUGCCAGGGGUGGGUCCACCCCAAGGAGUAGGUGGUAAGGGCGCUUCACAUCAAAUGCUGCCCAGAAAGCCAGGGCCCUGUAGGAUCUAAACCCGUAAGCAGGGAAUGACAGGCUGAUUCAAAUACAGAGCUGUGGGUUCGAGGUGGAGGCUGCAGCUGAAGGUGGCAGGAACCCACUGGGACCAGGAAGCAGGGGUUCACAAGUCACAUUCAGGGGCUGAGUCCUGCAGCACCCUCCCCCCACCCCUCAUUCCUGUCCCAGUCCAACAUCUGUCACCUCAGUAGUUAAAAAGUACGACUGGAAUGACUUUGAAAGGGAAACACUUCUGCUUCUCCUUUAGGCUUCGAGGGUCUGGCUUGAGCAGCACAGACAGGGACGUGUCUAACCGGGAUGACCAUGAGGUCUCAUCGCAGUUUGCCACUAACCAGGUCCACGCUGCUUUUAUGAGCUGUAACACUCACCGCGAAGAUCUGCAGCUUCACUCCUGAGCCCAGCGAGACCACGAGCCCACCGGGAGGAACAAACAACUCCAGACGCGCUGCCUUAAGAGCUGUAACACUUGCCGUGAAGGUCUGCAGCUUCACUCCUGAGCCAGCGAGACCACGAACCCACCAGAAGGAAGAAACUCCGAACACAUCUCAACAUCAGAACGGACAGACUCCAGACGCACCACCUUAAGAGCUGUAACACUCACCGCGAGGUUCCGCGGCUUCAUUCUUGAAGUCAGUAAGACCAAGAACCCACCAAUUCCGGACACAGUAGCAUUUGGGAAUAAUAAGAAUUGUAGCUGGGCAUGGUGGUACACGCCUGUAGACCCCUAGCAGCUGCCAUCAUCCUCACCAUCCGCAUAUUAUUGAUAUAUUAACUCUUUGAUGGCAACCAUAGCUUAUCCCCCUUAUCUCCCUAUGCCCUACAGCAGGGCAGUGGAAUGGUUAAGAGGCUUUGAAGUCUAAGAGUGCUGGCUUAAAACCCUAAUUUGUCAUUUUGGAUGUGUGGCUUUGGACACUUGGGGCAGGUCACCUAUGUUCUUCAAGCCCUGUAUCCUUAUCUGUCAGAUGAUGAUUUUUUUUUUUUUAGACGAAGUCUCACUCUCUUGCCCGGGCUGGAGUGCAGUGGCAUGAUCUCGGCUUACUGCAAGCUCCACCUCCCGGGUUGACGCCAUUCUCCUGCCUCAGCUUCCUGAGUAGCUGGGACUACAGGCUCCUGCCACCACCCGUGGCUAAUUUUUUUGUAUUUUUAGUAGAGACAGGGUUUCACCAUGUUAGCCAGGAUGGUCUCGAUCUCCUGACCUCGUGAUCUGCCCGCCCCAGCCUCCCAAAGUAUCAGAUGAUUUUAACAACUAUGCUUCCAUGACUUGCUGGGCUAGAUGAUAUGACUGUAAAAUGCCUAACCCAUGGUUUAGCAUCAAGUAAGCAAAUUGUAAAUGGUAGCACUGCUCUGCCUAUGACUAUUUAGUCUUGUGCUUUAAACUCAAAUAUUUGUUGGCCUACUGAAGUCACCACACAGAGAAAGAUGCUUUUCAUUCUCAGUAAAGAACUUUGGGAGAUAACUGGGGCAGGCAGCAAGAGAACAGAUGUCAUAUGUCUAGCAUCAGCAAACUCAUCAGAACUGAUGGGCAGCUCACUUUGCUUAGAACCUGCACCAGCAUACACACGGGGCUGCUUCCCAGUCACACUGCUCCUGGGAAGGUAGGGGGGCUGCUGUUCUGCAAUUAGCGCGGUUCUUUACCUCCUAUUACCGAACUGCCAGAGUUCAUUUGUGUUCAGUUAGGUAGAUGACCAAUUCUUGUUCAUUCCUAUUUUCUUUUGCUCACUAAUGUGUUUAACGUUCACUAACCUACCAAAUGUGAUUUAUUAGCGACUUUUUCUUUGAAGAUGGAGUGGAGGAAUCCUAGCGCUUUCUGCAACAUGCUACUGCUGUUAUGGAACAGUGCAGAUAUGGAAGUGCAUCAGCCGGGGAUGGGGAGAGGCUAGGGCAGUACAUGUGAAUGGAGAGGUAGCCCCACCAGUGUGUUUUCUGAAAUACAGUCCCGCAGAGGGCAGUCUUGGGAAAUUACUGUUCUCACACACUCUUCUUGACCCUACCCCUCCAGCACCUCCCUUGCUAUCCAAGGGUUGGGAUUUUUAAAAAGAAAAACAAAUUUUAAAAAAAGCAGUGUGAAUCUUUUGCCAUCUUGUAAGGGUGAAAAGCCCCCUACCAAGUCGGGAUGAACAUUCAUGCGUGUGCUUGAGGGCUUGGGAAAAAGACAGGGCUUGGCCCCACAGUGCAGGUAGGCCCAGUGAUCCUAUAAUAGGGGCCAGGAGAUGGGAGGUCCCCUGUGGGCAGGAGUUCAAGUAUGUGGUAUUAUAUGACUGGUGCUUGAUGAACCCAGGGAGAGGGCACCAAAAACAAUGGUAUUUAAUUGUAAAAUCUCCACCCCCUGAGGAUAUGUUUUCAGGUCUGGGUGACUAAUUAGACUGGGAAACAAGGGCAGGAACGAUGGCCCUGUGCUUGCUCUGCCCGCUGCCUCUGUGGAUGUGUGGGCUGCUGGCUUCAGUCCUGCUUUUCUUUCUGAUGGUAUUGUUUAUGCUAUGUGUUUUUGCAGGAGGCCUGAGGUGGGCUGGGUUCUCCUCCUAUGGCAGGGCUUCACUCUCCUCCUCCUUCUCUGUUGGGGCUUCACUGUCCCUGGGAUAAGAAUAACAAUGCCAAGGUUUUCAUUCUUGAAAGGAGCAAUUAAGCGUCUCACCCCCUCCUCAUUUUAGAUGGGAACUGUGAGGGUCCCGUCAUUUACCCAGGGUCCCUGUUGAGGAUCUUGUCCUCAUUAGAUGACUUCUUGUGCAGCUUCCAUGCGUGAUUCUUUACUCUUGUGGCACUGAGAGGUUUGUACAUGUCUUUAAGCCAGAGCGGCUUUCUGAAUGAAAAAAGUCCAUCCUAGAAGAUAGAAAGGGAAAUAUUAAUUUUGCAUGUCCUCUGCUUUCCCUGGUCACAGCAAUGAAUCCUCCAAUGUACCUGACUCUCCCUUUGCGAAGAGCAUCUCCGUGGCAGAAAUCUGAAAAUGCCCCUGGGGAGACACAUGCACAAGACAGUUCGUGAGCCACACAUCUCCCCACACCAAGCUCCUCCAUACAAGACCUCGGACUGCAUCACGUAAAUGCUUUUUCAGGGGCAAAAUCUAGAGAAUCUGAAACGAGCUAUCAGCUUCCCAGUUUGCACAAUUCAUCAAGAAAUUAUGCGGGGUCACUGGCACAAAUGAUGAGGCAUCUCCUGGAAGCUUAACUUCUUAUCCAUCCCAUCUCUUGGACAGAUGAUGCCAGUUAAUUACUUUGAAUAGAAGACUCACUGGUGGCACCUGCAGCUGCGGCGUUUUCCCCAAGGGGUCUGUCACACGCAGCCCAACUCAACUGGAGUCCUGAGAAGGUGAACAGACCAGGAUGGAUGGCCAGGGAACUCACCAGAAGUCCCCAGGCAUCAGAACAAGGUCGAAGCAUCCUGAUUAGGGUACCAGAGGCCCAGGCAGUACUUUUGGGGUAGACGAGGUACAGACCUUUGGCUCCUCACUGUCUUCAAGCCCACAAGAAGCAUAGAGCAGAAGAAGACAGAGGAGGGCCCAUCUGGCCCACUACCUGUUCUUGUAAAUAAAGCUUUAUUGAAGCCAGGUGCUCACCUUCUAGCACAUUCUUCAAGAGUUACUCUGAGGCAAGCCAGCCGCCAUGUCAUGAGGACACUCAAGCAGCACCAUGGAGAGGUCCGAUGGCGAGGAACAGAGGAUCCCCCUGCCGACAGCCAAUGAGGAACAGGCCUCCUGCCAACAGCCGUGUAAGGGGUCACCUUGGAAGCCAAUGGCCCCUCCCUGGUCAGGCUUUUACAUGACUGCAGUCCUGGCCAACAUCCUGACGGCAACCUCAUGAGAGACCUUGAGCCAGAGCCACCCACCUAAGCUGCUUAUAGGUUCCUGGCCCUCAGAAAUCACAUGAGAUCAUAAAUGUUUGCUCAAUUUGAGAUAUUUGUGAUGUAGCAAUAAAUAACAAACACACUUA